GCGCGCUUCCGCUCUCGCCGCCAUUUUGGGCUCCGCGGGGCUGCCCCGUUUCCGUAGGCACUGGGAGGCGGAAGACGGGGCUCCGCCGGGCGUGCCGGAGGGACGCGGCCUUGCGGGGCGGCCAGGGCCGCUCCGCUGCUGGUUGUGGAGAGAAGGAGGCUCAGGGAGCGGCGCCGCUGGAGACCGGGGCUGCCUUGAUCCGUCUCCUCUAGGGUUGAACAGCCCGGAUGGGCACUCCUGCUGAAUAACCGGAGUGAGGAAGUGUUGUGAGGUUGUCACAGCGCUGUGGCUUUCCAGUCAGCGUGUAACUCGCCUGCGAUGAACAGCUGCUGCCCUGUUACAGACAGAGACCGUCUCUUCUGCAAAGUCAUUGUGGUACAGACUUAACAUACCUAACACACCAAGAAACCAAUGAAAUUACAUUAAAAUUGGAACCACGCUGUUCUUUCUCCAUCUUGCCAGACCCCUUUCAUGACCACGCACCGCAAGUCGUUUCUAGGCGGGAGAUCUCGCUGCGGAGCUCAGGAACCUGUUCUGGCCUGUCCUUCGCUCGCCAUCGCACAUGAGGUGCUGCGGUACUGUGCUAGGUCAAGAGGGCGAGGUCACACACACGAUUACAAAGUGACUUAGACAAUCUUAUUUCUUGUGGUCCCUAAGAGUCUGCAACACUUGGGAUUGUUGUUUCAAGAGGUGAGCGUUAAUUUAGCAUCCUCUGCCGUUCAGGAGGCACUGGGUUUGUUUGGCCGAUGUUCUGUUUCAUCUGCCUUUCUCCUGCCCGCUCUUUUUCCUGACUCAGUCAUUGCUCAGGACUGGCUGUUGCUAGCUUCUGGCUAUAAAAAAUGACCAAACUUGUUGCUUCUCUUUCCUCCCAAAGAUCUUCCAAAGCACCAUGCCUUUAUUUAUAUGGAUAUAAUGGGAUUAAGUCUUCCAGAAGCCUACAAAGCAAGACUGAGAGGCUCUUAUAAAAUGAAUUGCAGCUGUUUGAACUAUCAACCAUCUUGCUGUUACACUAUUGUUACUUUAGAGAUCCACUGUGUUCUGAAGAUGCAGUGUUUUCUAGUCCUACAGUCACUUAAGUUAUUCAUGUCAUAUUUUUAAUUAUUCAAAACAUUUCCUAUUCUUUUCAGUUUCCAUGUGAAGCAGCUGGCUUCAGUUAGCGGAAUGUUAUUGUUAAGCCUCACUUUGGUUUUGAAGUACUUCAAAAUUCUUGUAUAAAUUUCCCCACAUUCCUAAUUAAGAAGGAUGUGGCUAUUAAAAAAAAAAAUCUCCUCCCUAUACCCUGUCACAGUACUAAACCAGAAUCCCCCAAAUGCAUCCUGCUUGGAGAUACCAGGCUGAAUGGAGCUGAUGUUAAGAAACAGGCAUUCUUAGACAUCACCAGUUUGGUUAAGAGACCACCUGGGAAUCCGAUCUUGUCAUCCAAGCCAAGGCUGGAGAGAUGUGAAAAUACUAGACCACUAAAAUGGAAAUACUAAUACAAGCUCCCUCUGGCCUUGUUGCCACUGCUGAUACAAAAAACAAGGAAAUAAAGAGACACUUGCCUAAAAUCUAAA